GAUCCUGGCUCAGGACGAACGCUGGCGGCGUGCCUAACACAUGCAAGUCGAGCGGAGACAUGUUGACGGAAGGUUUCGGCUGGAAGACGAUAUGUUUUAGCGGCGGACGGGUGAGUAACGCGUGAGCAACCUUUCCUUCACAGGGGGAUAAGAUACCGAAAGGUGUUCUAAUACCGCAUGAGACCACAGAGCCACAUGGCUCAGGGGUCAAAGGAGGAAUCCGGUGAAGGGUGGGCUCGCGUCCGAUUAG
rnacentral:rRNA from 1 species